rnacentral:rRNA from 1 species
UACAGAGGUCUCAAGCGUUUGUUCGGAUUCAUUGGGCGUAAAGGGUGCGUAGGCGGCGCGGUAAGUCGGGUGUGAAAUCUCGGAGCUUAACUCCGAAACUGCAUUCGAUACUGCCGUGCUUGAGGACUGGAGAGGAGACUGGAAUUUACGGUGUAGCGGUGAAAUGCGUAGAUAUCGUAAGGAAGACCAGUGGCGAAGGCGGGUCUCUGGACAGUUCCUGACGCUGAGGCACGAAGGCCCAGGGGAGCAAACGGG